AAUGAUGUGGCUGAAAACCAGGCGGUAAAUUGUAAAUUUAUUUAUAAUAAUUAAUAUUCGUCAUUA
rnacentral:tRNA from 1 species